rnacentral:rRNA from 1 species
CCUACGGGUGGCAGCAGUGAGGAAUAUUGGUCAAUGGGCGCGAGCCUGAACCAGCCAAGUAGCGUGAAGGAUGACUGCCCUACGGGUUGUAAACUUCUUUUAUAAAGGAAUAAAGUGAGGCACGUGUGCCUUUUUGUAUGUACUUUAUGAAUAAGGAUAGGCUAAUUCCGGGCCAGCCGCGCCGGUAAUACGGAGGAUCCGAGCGUUAUCCGGAUUUAUUUGGUUUAAAGGGAGCGUAGAUGGGUUGUUAAGUCAGGUGUGAAAGUUUGCGGAUCAACCGUAAAAUUGCAAUUGAUACUGGCAGUCUUGAGUACAGUUGAGGUAGGCGGAAUUCGUGGUGUAGCGGUGAAAUGCUUAGAUAUCACGAAGAACUCCGAUGGCGAAGGCAGCUUACUAAACUGCCACUGACAUUGAUGCUCGAAAGUGUGGGUAUCAAACAGGAUUAGAUACCCGAGUAGUC